rnacentral:rRNA from 1 species
CGAAAGCCUGACGGAGCAAGACCGCGUGAGGGAGGAAGGCUCUUGGGUUGUAAACCUCUUUUCUCAGGGAAGAAGCUCUGACGGUACCUGAGGAAUCAGCCUCGGCUAACUCCGUGCCAGCAGCCGCGGUAAUACGGAGGAGGCAAGCGUUAUCCGGAAUUACUGGGCGUAAAGCGUCCGCAGGUGGCAAUUCAAGUCUGCUGUCAAAGCACGGGGCUUAACUCCGUUAAGGCAGUGGAAACUGAAUAGCUAGAGUGCCGUAGGGGUAGAGGGAAUUCCCGGUGUAGCGGUGAAAUGCGUAGAGAUCGGGAAGAACAUCGGUGGCGAAAGCGCUUUGCUGGACCGAACCUGACGCUGAGGGACGAAAGCUAGGGGAGCG